UGACCAUUUAAUGCUUGUCAGGUUUGUCACGUACACGCGUCAUGGUGUUAGUGAGGGCCAUCUUUCUGACAUCCACCUCGUCGUUCGUCGAAUUGCCGUGGAAAAAUUGCAAACGCCCUGUGAAAAGUUAAAAAUUGAAGGGCAUAAUCGACGAUAUCUCUGCUUAAUCUGUGAUAAAAACAUAGAUUUUCCGACAUUCGUAACAUAAACCGGUAGAUUGGUGCAAAGAUCGUACUCUUCAGGCUGAAAUCUUCGUUUUCGUGAGGCAUCUGAGAGCAAGCCCCGGACGGAAUUGAGCAACGUCAGGGGAAGUGAAGGGGAACGAUUAGAAGUUGAAAAUUUUACCUGUGUCAGCAGCAAUAGAACUCAGCUUUCCUGCGUAAAAAACCCUUUGCAGUAAACCAGAUUUAACGCAGCGAUGGGUCGCAAGAAGAAAAAGGCGUCAAAGCCGUGGUGCUGGUACUGCAACAGAGAAUUCGAUGACGAGAAGAUUUUGGUGCAACAUCAGAAGGCAAAGCAUUUCAAAUGCCACAUUUGUCAUAAGAAGCUGUAUACGGGUCCCGGACUAUCGAUACAUUGUAUGCAGGUGCACAAGGAAUCGAUUGACAAGGUUCCAAAUUCUCUUCCAAAUCGGUCCAAUAUUGUGAUCGAAAUUUACGGAAUGGAAGGCAUACCUCCGGAGGAUAUUCGUGAGCACGAGAAACAAAAGAAUGGAAAUCGAUCAGAAUCGGAAGAAGAGGAGCCGGCGCACAAGAAAAUGAAGCAAGCUGAGGCGUCCGUAUCGCAGGGAAUGAUGCAAAUGCAGAAUAUGAUGCCUCCGCAUUUACAGGCAGCGUACAGCAUAAACCCCAUGAUGAGCGCAAUGGGAGGAAUCAAUCCGUACAUGGUACCACCCGGAAUGCCGAUGAUGCCCGCGAUGAUGGCAGGGGCCCAGAGACCCCUUUUCCCAGCCGCCGCCGCAGCCAGUGCCGCCACUGUGACUAGUGCAUCAAAACCGACGUUUCCUGCAUACAGUUCCGCCACGAUUAGUGCUCCUCCAACAACCAACAGUGCUAUCUCGGCAGCAGCAAGUGGCAACAGCAACAACGGAUUGGGUGGUGGUGAUGCGACGAAAGGCGCAUCGUCGUCCAUCAUGCCUAAUUCGGGUACUGCAACCUCUAAGAUUGUGCACCCGCCAGAGGAUCUCAGCUUGGAAGAGCUUCGAGCGCGCAAGCCCCAGUAUCAAAAGCAAAUACAGCAAGCUACUCAGCAAAUGCUGCAGCAAAAACAGCAAGAAAAACAACAAGCACAGGUAGCUGCUGCGGUUGCGGCGGCCCAGCAACAACUGCAGGCACAAGCGCAGGCACAACUUAAGCAGCACCAUCAGCAGCAGCAGCAACAACAUCAGCAACAAUUGCAUCAACAGCAGCAGCACCAGCAACAGCAACAACAGCAGCAACAGCAACAGCAACAGCAGCAGCACCAACAACAGCAGCAGCAACAACAACAGCAACAACAGUUGCAACAAUUAUCGCCGUUUUCCUCUGCAGCUGGUACCGCUUCAAUCGUUUCCAACACACAAACAACCGCCGCUAUGAAAGAUAAUCGAAUGAUGUCGCCACAAGAGCAAGCCGCUGUGAUAGCACAUGCACAUGCCGCUGCAGCCAACCAUCACAAACAGAUCGAGGAAUUGAAUCGUGCUGCAAUGAUUCAUCGGUUUCAGGCAGCAAACGCAGCCGCAGCGAAUGCUGCAGCAGCAGCCGCCAGCAGACCAGGAAUGCCAAUCGGAAUGGUUCCUGUAUCUCUGGGAGGCCCCGUCCCACUUAUGUCUCCAAUGAUGCGUCAAGGACUAGCAAUUGGUCCACCGGGAGGAGGCAAUUUGGCGCUUUUAGGGGGAAACAUGCUUCGUCCUGGUCCCCCACAAAUGGGUCUUGGUCCAGGUGGUUUAAUUACGCAAAUUCCAACUGUACCAGGCAUGGGUGUAGUUUUUCCUGGAGCACCUAUGCUGCCGAUGAUGCCACCGCGAUUCCGGUGAUUGCCUCAGACAGCGCUGCUACCACACAAUCCAGUUGCACAACAUCGUUCACUAUUAGCGGCGGUCACGUCUGCUGCGUUACCACCGUUGAUGCAACAGCUUCCAUUAUCAACGAUCUAUCCAUAAAUACGAGAUGAAGAAGGAAGACGUGGCCAUGGCAUAUUAGGAGCAUACCUUAAGAUACCUUACCUUAAGAUUAAUGUGAGUUACGCAUCCUGUAACGGCCUGGAUGCUGGGUGGUAGUCGAAUUCAAACAUAAUGCAGCAACUUUCCGUUUAUUUUAUGCAAAUGACAAUGGGAUGUAAAAAGAAUAUUCAUUCAUCCAGUGUGCAGCACCAUUUGGUUGUGACAUUUAUCUGGUUUUCGCCAGCGUGUUAAUAGCAGCGGUAUGUGGUUUUAAAUAAUUUUCUACAGUUCUAUAAUCUUUAUAAAAAAGACGAAAAUGUUCCGUAGGUGAACAAAUUUUAAGGCAAUAAUUCUGUAAUAAUCCUAAAAUACCAAAACAUAAGGUAAGGAAGUUGGGUUUAGUAAAAUCUAUACGAUAACAAUGGUAAAAAGGAUACGGCCUGAGAUUAUGUUUAAUCAAUCUAAAAUGCUCAAUUGCGUGAUGUAAAAAAAUAUCCACAUCAAAGUAGAGCACAUAAAAAUCGCCGCCAAUUUAAGGUUAGGGCUGAGAAAAAUUGAGCUGUUCAACUAUUGCCACCAUGCAUAAUGGCAAAAAUGUUUGCGUUUCGCUUUGUUGAUGUAUGCACAAAAAUUACACACCCAUCAGCUAUACAAAUCUUAUAAUCUGUCAAGAUUUUUUAAUUACUUUCUUAAUCAGCAAUUAGAUAAAUGCCCAAUUCUCAAUGCGUUUGGACGUUAAACUUGUCUUGUAACAUAUUUAAUUGUGGUGUUUGCAUCGCACUAGUAAUCAUGUGCAUCGUAGACGAAGUGCAAUACCAUGGCAGCUGAUUAAGCAUAUGUAUUGGUAAAUAGCUCAUUGUAUUUGUUAUUGUUGCAGUAGAACUAUAUAUUGGUAUACAAAAUUGCUAUUAUAACGCGUUUUCGUACAAUAACGACAUGGUAAUAUUACCUAUUUUCGCUUCCUAAAAGAAAAAAAAACAAUAUAGUAACAGUCACUCAUUACCUUUAACUCCAUACUAGAAUGCUUUCAAAUCAUGAAUAUAUUUCUUACUAUACAUUUAGAAUUCACACUAGCAAUAAUGUUGCCUGUAGUGCCUGAUAAUAUUGUGAAACUAUUGUUGUCCAUUGUAACUACGAAAGUGAAUUAGUGAAAAGAUAUGCGUAAACUAUAUGCAGUGAUUGAAACACGUUUAUAAUUUGCCUUGUUUUCGAUAAUUUUAAUGCAUUUGAUUUAAAAAAUGGCCAUUAUCUGAAACUAGUUUGUGACACGGGAUGGAAAUGGAAUUAAUGUUUCUUUCGUUUUCCUUUAAUUUGGCUUUUUUGUGAUGUUUUAAAAUACAUACAUUAUUUGGAAUACACGUAGGUUUAACAUUGAAUAUGCGAUGUUUUUUAAAGGUUUCGCUCACAUUUUAGUUUAAUAUGUUAUUGAUGUUAUAAUUUUCUGUUUUAGCUUUUUUCUAAAUAUGCUCAAUAACAAUAACUAUAAAUGGUGUGGUAUACUUUAUGAUUUAUUAUGGUGGUGGACUAAAUUGUUAACAGUAAAAUUGAUUAGAUUUUUUUUUCUCGUGGAAUCAUAUUCAUGUAUGUCAGUAAAAUCCAUGAAAAUAAUGUUAGAAACGUAGCUCAUUGAUUUUUUCCCCCCAUUUCUCCCUGGUCUGACGCUGUUAUAGUGAACGCGUAUCUUCAAUAACAAAUAAUAAUAGUCAUCUUCCAUGGUAAAUUUGGCCGUGCUCCACCACAUCAUACGGUAAUAGUUAAGUACCCCAUCCAUGAAUAGUUAAGUACAACCAUGGUCAAAACAAGCAUUGCGUUCUAUUUAUGCAAUUUUCACUCGUACACUCCCAGGUUUACUUCCUUAUUUACAGUAAGCGUCCACAAGGUGCAGUACCAUCGUACCUCAGCUGGCAGCCAUAAGCCGGCAAUGAAUUUGUAGCGCAUUACUCGACGAUUUUAACCAUAAGCCGUACGUACCAGCUAAACAAAGAGGAAGAGAUAAAGGGAGAGUGAAAGAGGAGAUAGCGUAUAUUAGUAAAUAGUUAUAGUUUCAGUUGGUCGUGGAUCCCCUUUCGUUUGAAUCUUUUGUAAGCUUUACCUCUAACUUCAUCACUUGUACUCCUUUUAUAUGUUACUCUAAUCCUAUUGCCAAAAACUGCAGCCUAAUCGUGAUCGAACAGGUGAUUGUAUUGAGAAAGUCGUGCCGCCAGAACACUACUCUACUCUCAGCAAUCACAAAGUUGAUGUUGGACGGACAUCGUUCCGUUCCCACCCUUUGAGUGGUUAGAAGCGUCGCUUCAACCAGCUUCAUUAAGGGUCGGCGACAUUGGUCAGAGCUUGAUGCUGUUUUUAGCAAUUUGACCAUGUGUCAUAUCAGUUUUGUUGAGUGGAAAGUCCCUUGCCUGAGAGCGUCGAAGGCAGGCGAAAUUGUUAGCACAAUUUCACAGUUCCUCUAUUUCUUUUGUUUGAUUGUUUUUAGAUGUGGUAAUACGGGAAGAAGGUUUAAUGUGAUUUGUUACGGUGAAGAUGGUGUAUGGUGUGGUGUUGAAGUUGUUUUAUUCUUCUUUAAAUAAUGCUUUUAAUAAAUAGUUUCAAGCUUCAUAAAGCAUUUGCUUUGCCCUUGUAAUAAUGGAUCAUGAAUGGAUAAGUUAUUCAACAGUGAAAGUGUCGGAAAUCUUUUUAUAUUUAUUACAUGUUACACGUAUGUUUUGUUGGAUAUGGUCUUACGUUUUGGGUUCUUCGCUUUUCACAAACCGUUCUUCAUUGCUACUUAUACAACUUAUAUCGUAUUUGGUAACUACUUUUAAAAUCAAACUAUUUUAAGUUAGCCCUGUUUGCCGUUAUUGUGAUGAUUCUUUUUUAUUCUCACCACCUACGUAUUGGAACUGUUGGACUUUCCAUCCCCUGUUCGUGAUCGACAAUUGGGUAUUUAAAUUUGAGUACAAACAUCACGCUAUAGUAUUAGGGGUUUUAAAGUAUAGUCCAUGCCUAACUCUUUCUUUCCUUCACUUUCUCUCUCCCCCUCUCCUUCUCUCUCUCUCUCUCUCUCUCUCGCUCUCUGUCUCUCUAUUUCUUUCUCUUUGCCGCUCCAUGUCCAUGCCUCAUGUGUGUUUCCCUGUAUUUUGUUUCCUUUUUUAUUUCUAUUUCCAUUCUCAGUGAGUAAUGAAAAUAUGCGAUUUAACAUGAGCUGUUUAAAAUUACAAUAGGAUUUACUAAAAGGUUGUAUUGCAAGCAUAUCUUAAUUUUUUUAGUUUCUUCGCAUAUAUUCCUUGAUAAAUGUUAGCUGUUGCUAAUUUCAUUGUCCUCUUUUGUUUCGGUAUUUGUCUUUGUGGUCGUCUGGUAUCGGUUUUGUUUGAAUGUGCGGCUUUAAUACGCUUCAUACGAGGGUCUCUAAUUGUGGCGGCGUGUAGAGGAUUCUACAACAGGGAAGUAGAACCAUUUUGAGUUAGUUUGGCUAUAACUGUAUGACGCAAGUAUGAGUUUGCUAUAAAAACUGUAUAUUCAUGUAUGCCUCACAAUAGGAAUCAAGAGAAGAAUGAAACUGUCCCAUGCUUGAUUAUUGUUGCAUUGUUUAGUUUUACCCUUAAACUAAAGUACUUUUAUCACUUGUUCCGCGAGUGGAAUAGUUUUUACAAAUAAGCAUUGAUUGAUACAUUGAUUUCAUCUCACCUUCACCUUCUCAUCCAACGUAAAACUAUACUUUCGGUUUGAUUAAACAUGCUUCAUCUGUAAAAAGCAACAAAUGGUGUAUCAUAAAUGAGAUAACUACCCAAGAAAUCGCCAGUUGAAUGAUACUGUUUAUCAAUCCGCCGCACUGUAUGAGCUAUAGAUUUGGAAAUAUAUUUGUGAAGUAUAUUGUGUGUAGCUUAAACCACAUCUAACUAUACAGCACUCACCUGAAUUGGUGCCAGUUCCGAAGCACGCACUUAACAGCAGACGUUUUGUUUUAAAUUACAACGUUUUCAAGGGAUGGCCAAAAAAUCCGUCGUGACAGUGGUUCUCGGAGAGCAUAAACACGAGUGUUGUAACAUAUUCGCUGAUAGAACUAUUGAACGAUAAGCAACCUAGUGCAAGAAGCAAUUGUUGACGUAAGUUUUUAGUGUGCAUAUUUCUAGUUUCCGAUAGCAAUCAAUGUUUGUAUGGGUUGUAUGUACAUAGCAGUUAUGUAUAGUACAUAUACAUAAGGGCUUUUAUGCAUAUACAUAUAUACACAGCUACGUGAGAUUGUGCCACGCUAGGCAAAACGAAACAUGUUAAUAGUGUUUUUCAUUUGUUAAGUGUAUUCAUUAGGCGAUAAACUCAACCUAUUCUUUCGAUUAUAUCUAUAUGCGUAGCGUGUCACCUGAGGUAUAGCACAUGAAUGGAAACAUAAUAAAAUAAAUGUAUAAAUUAAAAACUCA